GACCUAAUAGCGAAAUCGGCAUCGCAUCCACUCCCCAUUCAGAUGUAAUAAUGUUACCCGCCAUUGCAUUAUGUGGAAGUCCCUCGUUCGAAUCGAGGUUAGGUCC